ACUCAUAUGGAAAAUCAUGAUUCAAUUAUAGAAGGUUAGGUAAGUAAGCAGCUUUCUCGCUCCCUCUUGACAAAUCGGCUCCUUUAUUUGAAAACAUGUUGCUUCUUUACAAAUAUUCCUACAUAUUUUACGAAAAAACUUUUAAAUUGUAGUAAAAAUUAAACUUUUGGUGCAAAUUAUGUGGUCGGCAACAUCGUUUUCACUUUGACGCUUUGCCUUGUUAUUAUUCGUUGAAAAUCAUUUAUCUGCUUGUAAACGUUCAAGUCGAUUAUGUCUUACAUAUGGUGGUAGUCGAUUAUUUGGAGUCGCCUUUCUGCUGCCGAAAACUACCGGUUGGUGAAUUUUCAUACACGUUUUUAGAACAGCGUUUUUGCAAAUAUAAAAGUGACCACCUUACAUACAAUACAUAAACAGUUAGACUUCACAGACGAGCAAGUGCAGCGGAAGAUGUGUGUUGAAGAGCUGGUUUUUAGAAACGAAGGCAAGUAUGCGCGUAUUUCUACCAUU